rnacentral:rRNA from 1 species
AACGAACGCUGGCGGCAUGCCUAACACAUGCAAGUCGAACGAAGGCUUCGGCCUUUGUGGCGCACGGGUGCGUAACGCGUGGGAAUCUGCCCUUUGGUUCGGAAUAACAGCUGGAAACGGCUGCUAAUACCGGAUGAUGACGAAAGUCCAAAGAUUUAUCGCCAGAGGAUGAGCCCGCGUUGGAUUCGGUCGUUGGUGGGGUAAAGGCCUACCAAGCCGACGAUCCAUAGCUGGUCUGAGAGGAUGAUCAGCCACACUGGGACUGAGACACGGCCCAGAAUCCUACGGGAGGCAGCAGUGGGUAAUAUAGGACAAUGGGGGCAAGCCUGAUCCAGCACUGCCGCGUGAGUGAUGAAGGCCGUAGGGUUGUAAAGCUCUUUUACCCGGGAAGAUAAUGACUGUACCGGGAGAAUAAGCCCCGGCUAACUCCGUG